rnacentral:rRNA from 1 species
ACUCCUACGGGAGGCAGCAGUGGGAAUCUUAGACAAUGGGGAAGCCAUCGAUCUAGCCAUGCCGCGUGGACGAUGAAGGCCUUAGGGUUGUAAAGUCCUUUCAGCUAGGGAAGAUAAUGACGGUACCAGCAGAAGAAGCCCCGGCUAACUCCGUGCCAGCAGCCGCGGUAAUACGGAGGGGCUAGCGUUGUUCGGAAUUACUGGGCGUAAAGCGCACGUAGGCGGACUAUUAAGUCAGGGGGUGAAAUCCCGGGGCUCAACCCCGGAACUGCCUUUGAUACUGGUAGUCUAGAGUUCGAGAGAGGUGAGUGGAACUCCGAGUGUAGAGGUGAAAUUCGUAGAUAUUCGGAAGAACACCAGUGGCGAAGGCGGCUCACUGGCUCGAUACUGACGCUGAGGUGCGAAAGCGUGGGGAGCAAACGGAUUAGAUACCCUGGUAGGCUCUGC